rnacentral:lncRNA from 1 species
AUUUCGAAUAAAAAUUAUGUAUACAGAAGAACCCCGUUUAUACGUUUCUCACUUCUACGUUUUUCGCACUGGUACGUUGUGUUUUGUACGCUCUUUCGAGUUUGCAUGCAAAAUCAUCCCACUCGCAUGUUUUCCAUUUAUACGUCUUCGCAUUUGUACGCUAUUAGUUUUAUUCGCCCAGAGUCAUUUCGUUGCACUUACACAUAAAAUCCAAGCUUUAAAACCUUUUCGACUAAGAAACAAUUUGUUAUACUGUACACUACAUUAUCUUACAAAAUAGAAAGUGUUGAAGAUGACAUUGACUGGGCACGUAUUUUAGGGGGAAUUGAUUUUGUUAGUUUUGUUGAUUGUGAUGCUGAUGUUGCCGUAUGUUGUGUGUAGAGUGAUGAUG